rnacentral:rRNA from 1 species
UUUUCCUUUGGCCAUCGGUUUUAUACAUGCUAGUCGAACGAAGUAGCAAUACUUAGUGGCAGACGGGUGAGUAACAUGUAGGUAUCUUCCCUUUGGUGAGGAAUAACACGAGGAAACUUGUGCUAAUACCUCAUAAGUCUUUACGGAGAAAGCUUUAUGCGCCGAAGGAUGAGCCUGCAUUUGAUUAGUUUGUUGGUGGGGUAAUGGCCUACCAAGACUUUGAUCAAUAGCUGAUCUGAGAGGAUGAUCAGCCACAUUGGGACUGAGACACGGCCCAAACUCCUACGGGAGGCAGCAGUAGGGAAUAUUGCACAAUGGAGGAAACUCUGAUGCAGCGAUGCCGCGUGAGUGAAGAAGGCCUUUGGGUUGUAAAGCUCUUUCGUCGGGGAAGAAAAUGACUGUACCCGAAUAAGAAGGUCCGGCUAACUUCGUGCCAGCAGCCGCGGUAAUACGAAGGGACCUAGCGUAGUUCGGAAUUACUGGGCUUAAAGAGUUCGUAGGUGGUUAAAAAAGUUGGUGGUGAAAUCCCAGAGCUUAACUCUGGAACUGCCGUCAAAACUUUUUAGCUAGAGUAUGAUAGAGGAAAGCAGAAUUUCUAGUGUAGAGGUGAAAUUCGUAGAUAUUAGAAAGAAUACCAAUUGCGAAGGCAGCUUUCUGGAUCAUUACUGACACUGAGGAACGAAAGCAUGGGUAGCGAAGAGGAUUAGAUACCCUCGUAGUCCAUGCCGUAAACGAUGUGUGUUAGACGUUGGAAAUUUAUUUUCAGUGUCGCAGCGAAUGCAUUAAACACACCGCCUGGGGAGUACGACCGCAAGGUUA